rnacentral:RNase_P_RNA from 1 species
GGGAGUGGGAUGGAGCCGCGAAAACUCUUUAAAAACACAGUUUUUAAAGAAUUUUUGAGGAAAGUCUGCCCACAUCCGGGAUCUUCAGUUAAACUCUGAAGGUCCUGUAGGCAAUCGAUGCUGGAUUCUCUUUAAAAAGGCGACUUUUUAAGGAAAAUCUAGGUCCAGUAAUGGGCGGCAACAUCACAGAGACGAAACGGCCCCUUGCAAGUGCGGAUGAACGCGGUGACGGUCCUGGUGACAGGGCUAAGAUAACCCGCUGACAAUGCAGGGCGGAUGCGAUGAAACGGAUAGCCCCUUCGUGUGCAAGGCGGGAAUGGUGCCAAGAUGCGCGUAAAGGCGCGCAGAUUGAAUCGUUUAGCGCCGCUAAGUUGAAUGCUCCAUCGGAUCAUCGGCGCAGCAAGCGUCAUUGGGUCUGACAAAAGGCAGCUUACCCUGCUCCC